GAUGAACGCUGGCGGCGUGCCUAAUACAUGCAAGUCGAGCGAACAGACGAGGAGCUUGCUCCUCUGACGUUAGCGGCGGACGGGUGAGUAACACGUGGAUAACCUACCUAUAAGACUGGGAUAACUUCGGGAAACCGGAGCUAAUACCGGAUAAUAUAUUGAACCGCAUGGUUCAAUAGUGAAAGACGGUUUUGCUGUCACUUAUAGAUGGAUCCGCGCCGCAUUAGCUAGUUGGUAAGGUAACGGCUUACCAAGGCGACGAUGCGUAGCCGACCUGAGAGGGUGAGCGGCCACAUGGGAACGGAGCACGGGUCCAGCCUCCUCGGGGAGGAGGCAGGAGGGAUUCUUCCGCAAGGGGCGAAAGCCGGACGGACCAACGCCGAGUGAGUAAUGAAGGUUUUCGGAUCGUAAAACUCUUUUAUUAGGGAAAAAAAAAUGUGAAAGUAACUAUGCACGUCUUGACGGUACCUAAUAAGAAAGCCAGGGCUAACUACGUG
rnacentral:rRNA from 1 species